CCCUACGGGGCGCAGCAGUGGGGGAUAUUGCACAAUGGGGGGAACCCUGAUGCAGCGACGCCGCGUGGGUGAAGAAGCGCCUCGGCGCGUAAAGCCCUGUCCGCAGGGAAGAAAAUGACGGUACCUGAAGAAGAAGCCCCGGCUAACUACGUGCCAGCAGCCGCGGUAAUACGUAGGGGGCAAGCGUUAUCCGGAUUUACUGGGUGUAAAGGGGGCGCAGACGGCGAUGCAAGCCAGGAGGGAAAGCCCGGGGCCCAACCCCGGGACUGCUCUUGGAACUGCGUGGCUGGAGUGCAGGAGGGGCG
rnacentral:rRNA from 1 species